rnacentral:rRNA from 1 species
UGGGGAAUAUUGGACAAUGGGCGCAAGCCUGAUCCAGCCAUGCCGCGUGUGUGAAGAAGGCCUUCGGGUUGUAAAGCACUUUUGUACGGGAAGAAAUCGUUUGGAUUAAUACUCUGAGCGGAUGACGGUACCGUAAGAAUAAGCACCGGCUAACUUCGUGCCAGCAGCCGCGGUAAUACGAAGGGUGCAAGCGUUACUCGGAAUUACUGGGCGUAAAGCGUGCGUAGGCGGUUUGUUAAGUCAGAUGUGAAAUCCCCGGGCUCAACCUGGGAAUGGCAUUUGAUACUGGCGAGCUAGAGUACGGUAGAGGGUGGUGGAAUUCCCGGUGUAGCGGUGAAAUGCGUAGAGAUCGGGAGGAACAUCUGUGGCGAAGGCGGCCACCUGGACCAGUACUGACGCU